rnacentral:rRNA from 1 species
ACUCAGAUCACGUCGCCUNUUUUACAAAAACAUAGCCUUACGGAGUGAUGUAAGGUGAGCCCUGCCCGGUGAGUGCUUUCAACGGCCGCAGUACCCUGACUGUGCUAAGGUAGCGUAAUCAGUUGGCUUUUAAAUGGAGUCGAGAAUGAAUGGGUCUAUGGGGGAAUGCUGUCUCUAACCUGUUUAGUAGAAUUUGUUUAGUGGGUGAAAAUGCCCACAAAUAGAAAAAAGACGAGAAGACCCUUAGAAUCUAAAUGAACAUAUAAACUCUAUAUUAAAUUUUUGUUGGGGCGACAGCGGGGCAGAGAUAAUAUAACAUUUAAACCCCCGUGAGAAGUAUAAACACGACGAAAGUGAUAAGCGAGAUAAGAUUACCUGAGGGAUAACAGCAUAAUUUUUUGUAGCUUUGUGACCCUCCGAUGUUGGACUAGGGGACCUUACGACUAGCCCGUCGCAUGGCGGGAUCCUGGUUCGAAUCUUUCUUUAACCCUACGUGAUCUGA